rnacentral:rRNA from 1 species
GACGAACGCUGGCGGCGUGCUUAACACAUGCAAGUCGAACGGUGAAGCCCCAGCUUGCUGGAGUGGAUCAGUGGCGAACGGGUGAGUAACACGUGAGCAACCUGCCCCUGACUCUGGGAUAAGCGCUGGAAACGGCGUCUAAUACUGGAUACGAGAAGGGUCCGCAUGGGCACUUUCUGGAAAGUUUUUCGGUUGGGGAUGGGCUCGCGGCCUAUCAGCUUGUUGGUGGGGUAAUGGCUCACCAAGGCGACGACGGGUAGCCGGCCUGAGAGGGCGACCGGCCACACUGGGACUGAGACACGGCCCAGACUCCUACGGGAGGCAGCAGUGGGGAAUAUUGCACAAUGGGCGAAAGCCUGAUGCAGCGACGCCGCGUGAGGGAUGACGGCCUUCGGGUUGUAAACCUCUUUCAGCAGGGAAGAAGCGAUAGUGACGGUACCUGCAGAAGAAGCACCGGCUAACUACGUG